rnacentral:rRNA from 1 species
AUGUAUAAGUAUAAACGACUUGAUCGUGAAACCGCGAACGGCUCAUUAUAACAGCUAUAAUUUACUUGAUCUUGACAACCUACUUGGAUAACUGUGGUAAUUCUAGAGCUAAUACAUGCACCAAAGCUCCGACCGUAAGGGAAGAGCGCAUUUAUUAGAACAAAACCAAGCGGCUUCGGCCGUUCCGUGUUGACUCAGAAUAACUAAGCUGAUCGCAUGGUCUUGUACCGGCGACGUGUCUUUCAAGUAUCUGCCUUAUCAACUUUCGAUGGUAGUGUAUCUGACUACCAUGGUAGUGACGGGUAACGGAGGAUAAGGGUUCGACUCCGGAGAAGGGGCCUGAGAAAUGGCCACUACGUCUAAGGAUGGCAGCAGGCGCGCAAAUUACCCACUCUCAGAACGAGGAGGUAGUGACGAGAAAUAACAAGACCGUUCUCUUCAGAGGCCGGUCAUUGGAAUGGGUACAAUUUAAACCCUUUAACGAGUAUCUAUGAGAGGGCAAGUCUGGUGCCAGCAGCCGCGGUAAUUCCAGCUCUCAAAAUGCAUAGAAUCAUUGCUGCGGUUAAAAAGCUCGUAGUUGGAUCUGUGCUGACCUCCCGGUCCACUUUCGGGUGCGCACUGGUGGGGUUGGCUUUCUGCAGUUUUUGGGCUGGUGCCCUUCACUGGGUACCAGUUCCGGCUGCAAGUUUACUUUGAACAAAUCAGAGUGCUUCAAACGGCGUUUGCGAAUUUCGUGCAUGGAAUAAUAGAAGAGGAUUUCGGUUCUAUUUUAUUGGUUUUAUAGACUGAGAUAAUGGUUAACAGAGACAAACGGGGGCAUUCGUAUUCUACGUGAGAGGUGAAAUUCUUGGACCGUAGCAAGACGAACUACAGCGAAAG